rnacentral:rRNA from 1 species
UACGUAGGGGGCGAGCGUUGUCCGGAAUUAUUGGGCGUAAAGAGCUCGUAGGCGGCUCAGCAAGUCGGCUGUGAAAUCCCGAGGCUCAACCUCGGAACUGCAGUCGAUACUGCUGUGGCUAGAGUCUGGUAGAGGAGAAUGGAAUUCCCGGUGUAGCGGUGAAAUGCGCAGAUAUCGGGAGGAACACCAGUAGCGAAGGCGGUUCUCUGGGCCAGUACUGACGCUGAGGAGCGAAAGCGUGGGGAGCAAACAGGAUUA